CCCCUAAAUGUUCCAUUACCCCUAAAUGUUCCAUUACCCCCUAAUGUUCCAUUACCCCCUAAUGUUCGUUACCCCCUAAAUCUUCCAAUGUUGAAUCUCAAACUUCUCUCUGAAUUGUUUUACAUGUAAGUUAUAUUUUAGCUUUAUUAAUGUUGUAAGCAGAUUCGUUUGUAAAAAACAAAAACAUGUUAUAAGUUAGUGCGCCAUGGAAUGACCUAUAGAGUGAAAUAAAAAACAAAAAAUACCUUUAAAAUAAUGGUCACUAGCACAAAAUGAAUAUAAUAUGUGACCUGCUUCAUCUGAAAUGUUUAUAUAUUUCUGCUUGAGUGAUCAUUCGUUUAAGUAAAGAUUUGAGUUCUACAUUGGCGCUUGCAACGCCAGGGUUGUGGGUUAGAUUCCCGGGGCCACGCAUACGUAAAAAUGUAAGUCGCUUUGGAUACAAGUGUCUGCUAAAUGGCAUAUAUUAUUAUUACAAAAAAAUGUGUUGCCGUGCAAGAUGCAAUAAGUCUGAUUCCAGCUAAAACAACUUGACUCAACAUAAACUCACAGAAAAAUGAAAAAUGUUUCUUCCAAUAUGGGGUUUUCAAAUAUUAUUUAUUUGAUUUUAUUAAAACAUUUUCAAGUAUAAUCUAUAUUUAGCAAUAUUCGAGAAGCCCUUUUGACCCUACACUCAAUUUUGUUUCAAUGGACUUGCUAUAUUUGGAAUGAAAUAACAUUUUAAUGUGUAAAAUAUUUGAGCGUCGUACCACGUUGUUUAACGUGUUAUGUGUUUUAUGGGAAAUAUGAUUCAGAAUGUGAGCAUCAACGUAGAUCCUUACAAUUACCAAAAUGUGGUAUUCUUGUGCUAAUGAAGUUUGUUUACUUUGAACAUCAUCUCUCCCGUGCUACAGUAGCCAUUUCAAUGUUAGAAUAAUGCCUUCCAAAUAACUAAACCAUACCCUUUAAGGUGUGGUUUGAAUUAAAGAGAGCUGUGUAAAGCGGUCUUUUGGUGAAGCCUGGUAUUUUUACAACUUUGUUGUUCUUGAAAUACUUGCGCUACACAAGAAGUGUUCAGCUUCCAACUUUUCCCAGAGUGUGAUUGCGAGUGCUCUUUCUGGAUCCUUGUAUGAAAUAUUGUGAAACAUUCCUGAAGGAAUGGCACACAUUGCCAGUUAGUCUUCUCAGGUCAAACCCCUCUGAAGUGACUUGAAUCAUUUUACCACCUUACCAGAAUAGAAUAAUCACACAACCUCUCCUCCCCUUCAUGAGAGCUUUGCAAAGUACACUCUCCCAAAGAAGCAGGGAGGUAGGAAAAGUACUUGUUUUACGAUUAUUUAUUUUAUAUGCAUCACUGAAACUCUGUAACCCAGUAAUAACACAUUUUAAAGCCCUUCUGUAUGACUAUUGAUGUGUCUGUGUUUGUAUGUUUGUCAAGGGAAUCACCCCCUGCUUUAGGUUUUUUCUUUGGGGAUUCAGGCCGCAGCGGUCAAGGGUUUGAUGCCCCCAUUAAUGGAAUACGUCAAAUGUUGUCAUUUGGACAGUUUUUUCAAACAUGUACUUAAGAACCAACAUGUCAUAUUUUCUACCCUCUUGCUAAAGACAUGCUAGAAGUCUCAUUUUCCUAUUAUGCACACAUUUUGAAACAAUUUGGUUUAGAAAAUGUAUUGUUUAGCUAUUUCUUGCCAGCUCAAACCACAAAUGAGCAUUGUACUAAUGUCCUUGAGCGGAUGGGUUAUUGCCUAAUGAAUUCCCAUUGAUAAAUCCCAAUAAAACCUUGUUUCUCCAUAGAUGACAGAGGGACAAGGGAUAUAACAGUAAACUGCUGUAACUGUCAUACUGUACUGUAGUCAUUUUGCAGUAAUAUUGAUUUUGAUUUUGUACUUGAACAACUGCAUUCACAAUGAAACAAUGAUAUUUUUGUACAAAGUAUCAAACCCUAAGUUAGCAUCAAACCCUGUCCUUGUUGUGUGUCCAUUGCUGUAUGUUUUUUCAAUGGUGUUGAAAUCUCAUUGUUGUUCAGGCUAUUAUGUGCUGCAGUAUUUCCUAGUAUACUUCUUUGUUAAUUUUCUCUCUCAUUUACAUUUAUUGGGGAUUUUUUUAAAGUGCGUUUGUUGUCUCCUUAAUAUCUGUUGAUAUAGCUUUAUAUGUACCAUAUUCCUUAGAAUAAUAUUAUUGAGUAUGUUGUGAGAAUGGAUAUUUUACUGGCUUUAUAGAAUGUUUAAAGAAAUAUAAUAAUGAGAAUAAGAAGAAUGAUUAAUUGAACUCCUAACAAGUUGAGUACUUGGCUACUAAGCGCUUGUGUUACCAUUAAGAUGUUGUGUGCUUCUCUUAAUCAUUUUCGUUGUAGAAAAAUUGAGUGAAUUUAAAAUAGGCUUCAAAAAACAAAUUAUAGCAUUGUACAUUUACAGGAGGAUUUUAAUUGACAACUUGGUCAUAGAAGAAAAUACUGAUUUGAAUUGCCCUCUUUACUAACUGUAGGGUGAAGGGGCUGGCAUUGUGGUGAACUAUGUUCUAGCUUGUUAUUCACUGUUACUUUUGAUCAUUUCUUCGGUCUCCGAGGUGAAUCGAGUUAUUCAUGAGAAUUUGUAUGCUCACAUAUGCAUAUUGUAUAUGUGUAGAAAUGUAAUCACACUUUGUCUUGGAUUUACAUUAAACUGUUAAGUCACGGCACCAGUCUCCCGUCUCAUACAAUAGUCAUUAUUUAUAUCUGCUGUGUUUGUGUUGGGGAGGGUUUGUGGUUGUGGUGUGUACACUUUAUCAACAUGGCAAAUUGCUUGAUGGUUUUUACAGACAUAAUGAUGCACCUGACAUAACAUGAAGGACACCUCACUGAAG
ensembl:lncRNA